rnacentral:rRNA from 1 species
GUGGGGAAUUUUGGACAAUGGGCGAAAGCCUGAUCCAGCCAUGCCGCGUGUGUGAAGAAGGUCUUCGGAUUGUAAAGCACUUUAAGUUGGGAGGAAGGGCAGUAAGUUAAUACCUUGCUGUUUUGACGUUACCGACAGAAUAAGCACCGGCUAACUUCGUGCCAGCAGCCGCGGUAAUACGAAGGGUGCAAGCGUUAAUCGGAAUUACUGGGCGUAAAGCGCGCGUAGGUGGUUUUGUAAGUUGGAGGUGAAAUCCCCGGGCUCAACCUGGGAACUGCCUCCAAAACUGCAUGACUAGAGUACGGUAGAGGGUAGUGGAAUUUCCUGUGUAGCGGUGAAAUGCGUAGAUAUAGGAAGGAACACCAGUGGCGAAGGCGACUACCUGGACUGAUACUGACACUGAGGUGCGAAAGCGUGGGGAGCAAACAGGAUUAGAUACCCGGGUAGUCC